AUUGAACGCUGGCGGCAGGCCUAACACAUGCAAGUCGAGCGGAUGAAGGGAGCUUGCUCCUGGAUUCAGCGGCGGACGGGUGAGUAAUGCCUAGGAAUCUGCCUGGUAGUGGGGGAUAACGUCCGGAAACGGGCGCUAAUACCGCAUACGUCCUGAGGGAGAAAGUGGGGGAUCUUCGGACCUCACGCUAUCAGAUGAGCCUAGGUCGGAUUAGCUAGUUGGUGGGGUAAAGGCCUACCAAGGCGACGAUCCGUAACUGGUCUGAGAGGAUGAUCAGUCACACUGGAACUGAGACACGGUCCAGACUCCUAUGGGAGGCAGCAGUGGGGAAUAUUGGACAAUGGGCGAAAGCCUGAUCCAGCCAUGCCGCGUGUGCGAAGAAGGUCUUCGGAUUGUAAAGCACUUUAAGUUGGGAGGAAGGGCAGUAAGUUAAUACCUUGCUGUUUUGACGUUACCAACAGAAUAAGCACCGGCUAACUUCGUG
rnacentral:rRNA from 1 species